ensembl:lncRNA
GCUUAAUCAUGUCUGCAGAGCACGUUUUCCCAUGUAAGAAAAGAAGUCAUUACUCUCAACAGCGACAAUAACAAGAGUAGCAAGCAUCUUCUAUGGUCCUCAAAGGGUUUUUGAUUAAUUAGCUGACUUCAAGCAGCACUGCUUAACUCAGGAACAUUCAGCUGGAGAAAAGAUGAUUUACCCAGAAGCUCCUUAUGGAAUAACAAACUAAACCCAACCUCUGCGGACCCAGGCUUACCUCAGAUGGGAGAGGCACUUUCCUAAUAAGGAGAAGCUCUUUACUUCUUGAGAGGAGGUGCAGCUUGGCUGUCAUCAUUGGCGCCCUUCCCAGCACUCCCUGUUCCAGACACUGCCCUUUAUUUGAAGAAGUGGUAAGGAAAUGGCUCCUAAUGUGACAGAGGUAAGGGAGAUAUCUGAGCCAAUUACGAAC